AUCAGGGAACUAAAGUUUAGAAUAAUAAAAGAAACUGAGAGUAGAAAAAAAAAAAUUGACGAUUUAUAGAAUAUGUAGGGAUUCGGUAUUGCUUCAAGGAGAAAUCCGAAAGAUAUUUCUACCAAUCUAUUCCCAAUAUACGUUGCAUUCGGGAAAAAAAAAGCCUUUAAGGAACUGUGUAAAUGUGGAUGCAUGUGGAAAAAAAAAAGAUUGUAGAAUAAAAUAAACUUUUGCCUUAUGAAGAUGUGGUUCUUGCACUAUUUCAAAGAAGGAUGGUUGAGUACAAAAAAUGUAAGUACUUUCCUGAUGGGAUUUCUUUCUUUUGUUUUCUUUCUUUUCUCUCUUUUUUUUUCUCUUUUUUUCUUUCUUUUUUUGUACAGGAAACAAAAUUGUAAGAAAAGUAGAUUAAAAAAAUUAGUACUUAACAACGAUUUUAUCAAGUUAAGAAAACGUCAAUUUAGAUUACGUCUUGCUUAAAUCGAUGUAUGAGAUAACUUUUUUUUUUUUGAGUAGAUGAACAAAAAUAAAUAAAUAAACAAAUAAACGGUGCAAGAAUUUAAAAAUAUAAAAGUAAAAUAUAAUAGGUUUAGAUGGAGUCAGAGCUCUGAUAUCAAAUGAUGCGGAACCCAAGAUCAAACAUCGUAAUUAGGAACUCACACAAUUUCAUUCAAGGUACCAAAAGAAUUUAAUCCUAUGAAAAUCUUCCCUACUUGACCCUCUAUCAAGAAUGAUAGGAACUAAGAUCACUAAGAAAUGGAGAAUUAAAAGAAGAAUGGAAAAACAUUGCAAGUAAUUAUCUUGAUAAGUAGAUCCACUCCUUGUUUAACAAGAAGGAUCAAGACAUCUCUCUUGAAUAAGACUCACAAUAUUAUUAGUUUUUAAUCUUUAAUGCUUACAAUGAAUACUUCAUGACCUAUUUAUAAGAUAAGUCAUGUGAAUAGAAUGGUAAUAAAAAUCUCCUAAUUAAGUAGGUACAAUUACAUAGGAAAUUAAUUAAAAUUAAAAUCUAAAUUUCUAAUUAUGAUAGAUAUGAUCUUCCUCAUUUUCUUGGCCAAUUGCUUUUUUUAGUGGAUCCAAACUCAUCUUCCUCAUUAAUCAAAGCUUGGAUGAAGAGUUGGAAAGUUUGUUGUAAUUCUUGGGUCUGGCUCCUUGUUAUGGGCCCACUUGGCAUGAUGAUGUUUCUUUCAUGUGGCCCAAGAUAAUCCAUGCUCACAUCAUUAUUUCUAUCUCAAAAAAAAAAAAUGGAAAGAUGAACUACUUUUAAACAGUUAUUGGGUUUGGAGGAUAUGGCUCUUGGUAUAACUUCCAAAGGAUAAGAUAUGGAUUAACAUAUAGCUGAUGAAAUUGAAAGAUUCUUGCAGCCAGGCUCAAUAAAUUGGGUUUAAAAUUUCACUCAUGUCUGUAGUUUUUGCCUCUUUGGAAGUUGGAAGAGGAAGGAAAUUGGGACUCUUCAAGACAUAUAGUUGAUGGAUUAACAUAUAGCUGAUUAUACUGAAAGAUUCUUGCAGCCAGGUUCAAUCAAUUGGGUUUAAAAUUUCAUUUAUGUCCGUUGUUUGUGCAUCUUAGGAAGUUGAAGAGGAAGGAAAAUGGGACUCACUAAAGGCAUAUUUUAAAUUCUUUUUUAGUCCAUGAUAUUGUGAAGGGACAUUGAUGAGUCUCGGUCAUUCUAAAUUGUAAUUAUACAGCUGUUCAAGAAAUUUUUCACUUUUCAGUUGUUGAUGCUGAGUAUUCACUCAACUAAUCAAUUAAUUUUAACAUCAUCUUUUCUUUUUCUGUGUAUCUUCCUGAUGUUGUUUACCAGCUUUCCCAGUGGAAUACAGAGUCCAGCUGAGCUUGAGAAGAAUAUUAAUAUGAUACCGGGAGUAGUUGACAAUGGCAUUGUUUCUGGUGUUGCAGCUUGUGUAAUAGUUGCAGUCAAAGAUGGAGGUAAUGUCAAAGUGAUGAGUUUGGAAGAGUUUGUAGAAGUGGUACUCGGCCGGAGAGAUGCAAAUUCUACCUUGUAACAUUUCUUUUCUCCUUUACACCACUUUCAAUUUUGAAUUUUGCUGUAGCAGUCGGCAUUAGGAAUAGAACAAAGAGAGGUCUUAUAGAAUAUUAGCCGAAUGUAGUCCAUAAGUAUAGACAUUGGUUACAGAGGAGGGUAGUUGAUAGCAAAGCUUUUGUGUAUAGAGGGGACCUGGUUUUUACUUGGUGGAAAUAAUUUCUUAAUUCGAGCUA